AUCUGACCUAUGAACGGAAAGUAAUCUUCAAGUGAGCAGUUAGAGAUGGGGACUCGUGGCUGAAAGGUUCCUUCUGUGAUAUGAAGAUGAAAGACACCUGGAGGUUCUAUGUUGAACGCAAUUGGUUAGUAAGCAUAGACGCGGUCCCGGCGAUAACGGGUAAGAGGUGGAAAGAAGCUGUUUAGGGUUCUUUCAAUUAGGGUGGUACCGCGGGAAUAAAGAAUCUCUCGUCCCUGAC
rnacentral:ncRNA from 1 species